AGGUAAGGGCUUGGUGGCGCGAGCCCCUCACCUGGCCGCGGCCCGACAGACGGCCUGGGACCCCAGGGUCAGGUUCUCUUGGCAAGGGAUGUCUCCAGAGAGGACUGAGGAGCCACUGCUGGUCCGCGCGCGCCCCGGACUGCGCUCCUUGCAAAGCCUUCUCAAUGGUUUGGAAUAGACACUGCUAACAAGAGUAUUAGUAGUAAACUAAGAAGAACAGAGAAAUUGAAUGAAAAGUGGGAACAUGGAGAGAGGCAAAAUGUGCAGGUCUGUGAACUGGAGAUUGGCACUUGCCAUCUGCCUCUGCACAGAUUGACUCAUGAGCUGCUGCAGCUGCUGUCCCUCUACACCCCUGAAAGGAGCUCAGGGCGGAGAUCAGGGGUGAGUCACUCUGUGCUCUGGGAAAACGGGCAGAACAGGUCUCCAGAUAGAUAUUUUCAGGAUGAGAUUUUAUAAACCCAAUUCUUGCAUCUCCUCAUAUCUAGCAAAGUACUGACAUCCUUCAUGGUGACGUCUGCUCCUCGUGAUUAGCAGUAACAUUCACUCGGAGACCAGCAGUGACCUGUAAAAUGAGUGCUUGGUGUCAUGUACCUCCCCCCUUCACCAAAACCACAUAUAUACCAAUAUUUCCACCUACAUCUUUGGAGCGAUAUUUCAGAGCUAUUUGAAAUGCUGCCUCCUAGGCUAUAGUCCUCAUUUUGCCCCCAAGAAAACUUAACUCUUAGCUUUUACGUUGUGCUUUUUUUUUUUUAGUUGACAGGUCCUGUUUUGAUUAAUACGAUACAAAUUUAUGUAAGGCAAUUUAUAGAAAUGUUUAGUCAAAAUGUAUGUUCUUUGGCAACGAACUCUAAAGAUAGUUCUAAGAAGAAAGAGGUAAAAUGGAGGUUGUCAGUGGCAUUAAAAAUUAUUUAAAAGCAGGAGUUCCCUGGUGACUCAGCAGGUUAAGAUCCAGUGUUGUCAGGGCUGUGGCUUGAAUCACUGCCGUGGCACAGGUUCGAUCCCUGGCCUGGGAACUUCCACAUUAUAUGGGUGUGGCCAUGUCACAAAAAUAAAUAGAUAAAUAAAAAUUAUAUACAAUGGUUAUUUUAAAUUUGAAAAAGUGGAAAGGACUACUGCAUACUGUCCUUGAAAAACAGCUUUUGGUAUUCUGAAUACCAAGAAAACUCAAUUUCAAGACAAACUUUACUAUCUAGCUGAUGAUCGUAGGCAAGU
rnacentral:lncRNA from 1 species